CCUACCCCCAGAGCUUUGUUGGGUAUCCUCAGGAUUUGGUGUUGUUGAUGACCCAGGAGGCAUAAUGGGUCACCAUUUGUAUUCUGGGCCACCCUAAUGGAUGACACCCAGCUUCAGAAACCUCCUCUUGGACAGCGUCCCUGUCAGCCAGUAUGUUAUCCAUCCCAUUGUCUGGAGGUGGCCUCCCACUCAUUUUGAGUGACCUCACUGUAAAACCACAUAGACUCGUUCUUGGCUGUCUAUCUGACCCACCUGUCCUCAAGUGGACCAUAACUGAGGCAGCAGGGAGUUCAUCUGGGACUGAAACUCCACGUUAAGCUGUCACAAGAGAGAAUGGCAUGCAGGAAACUUCUUUGGCUUAGAAAGGCUGACGAUAAUUCAUGUGUCAGCUGUACCACGUGGCUCUUUUUAGUCCAAGGAGCACUUUCACAUACAACAUUUUCUCUUAUUAAUU